rnacentral:rRNA from 1 species
CCCCUAGUAACUGCGAGUGAAGCGGGAAAAGCUCAAAUUUAAAAUCUGGUAGUCUUUGGCUGCCCGAGUUGUAAUCUAGAGAAGCGUUAUCCGCGCUGGACCGUGUACAAGUCUCCUGGAAUGGAGCGUCAUAGAGGGUGAGAAUCCCGUCUUUGACACGGACUACCAGGGCUUUUGUGAUGCGCUCUCGAAGAGUCGAGUUGUUUGGGAAUGCAGCUCAAAAUGGGUGGUAAAUUCCAUCUAAAGCUAAAUAUUGGCGAGAGACCGAUAGCGAACAAGUACCGUGAGGGAAAGAUGAAAAGAACUUUGGAAAGAGAGUUAAACAGUACGUGAAAUUGCUGAAAGGGAAACGCUUGAAGUCAGUCGCGUUGUCCAGGGAUCAACCUUGCUUUUGCUUGGUGCACUUUCUGGURGACGGGUCAGCAUCAAUUUUGACUAUUGGAAAAAGAUCAGGGGAAUGUGGCAUCUUCGGAUGUGUUAUAGCCCUUGGUUGCAUACAAUGGUUGGGAUUGAGGAACUCAGCACGCCGCAAGGCCGGGUUUUAACCACGUACGUGCUUAGGAUGCUGGCAUAAUGGCUUUAAUCGACCCGUCUUGAAACACGGACCAAGGAGUCUAACAUGCCUGCGAGUGUUUGGGUGGAAAACCCGAGCGCGUAAUGAAAGUGAAAGUUGAGAUCCCUGUCGUGGGGAGCAUCGACGCCCGGACCAGACCUUUUGUGACGGUUCCGCGGUAGAGCAUGUAUGUUGGGACCCGAAAGAUGGUGAACUAUGCCUGAAUAGGGUGAAGCCAGAGGAAACUCUGGUGGAGGCUCGUAGCGAUUCUGACGUGCA